UUCCCCCAAACUUCCGUUUCUCCCCUGCAUUCAUCUCCAGGUUGUCUGCCUUUGACCUUUUCUCUUCAGAUUCAUUUCUGCAUCAGUGAAAAUUGUAUUCAAAUGAACUCAUUUUUAGCAGGGAAUGAGCUCGAUUUAUUAAGGAAAUGAGAAAACUCUUGCCAUGAAAAUGAGCUUUUGGAUUAUACAUCCCACAAAUUGAUAAAAGUAAUGUGGAAUUAACUCAACAUUAAAGGUAUCAGAAAUGUAUCUGUUAUUGAGAAAACUUUUCCAGAUUAAAGGAGGCAAAAGAGAUGUGACAGCUGAAUGUGGUGUGUGAGCCUGGAUUUAUUUAGGUCCUUAGUAGGGACAGUGGUGAAAUCUGAAUAAAUUCUGCAGCUUAGUCAAUAACUUCAUGUCAAUGUUAAUUUCCUGGUUUUUGAAAAUGGCACUUUGGUUAUGGAAGAGAAUGUUUUUGCUUAUUUUAAGGAAACCCAUUGAAGUAUUUAAGAAUAAAGGGAUAUUGCAAAAUAUCUCAAACAGUUCAGAAAAAGAGAAAACGAAUGUGGCAUUUUGACAUUUGGGGGAAUUUUGGAGAAGGCUAGAAGGAUAUUAUUUGUGUAGUGCUGGAAUUUUCCUACAAGUCUGCAUUGUGUCAAGAUAAGUUAUUAAACAGAUACCUUUUGUUGACCUCUUUCUCAUGAAAAAAAAAAAAAAAAGAUGUGGUUUUAGUCAUCCUACGUACCUCUGUGAGACUCAAAUUUCUGUAUGAGAUGCUGGCAUUCCUCUAGAAUCGUGUCUUCCAGGACCCUCUUGCUCAUCCCUAAGUUCUGUAAGGUGGUCAAGCUGAAUCUCCUCAUAAUUUUCUAAGUGUCACCAUGAGAGAAGACAAUUCUUUACAAUGAGGAAAGUGUUUUAAAAUUACUUUCUCAAAGUGGUUAAAAUCUAGUUUGUGAGGACACAUAAACACAAAGAGGCUGAAUUCCCUCUGUUGAAAGUAGGUCUCAGGAGUUCCCAUUGUGGCUUAGUGGUAACAAACCUGACUAGGAUCCACGAGGAUGUGGGUUUGAUCCCUGGCCUUGCUCAGUGGGUUAAGGAUCCAGUGUUGCCAUGAGCUGUGGUGUGGGUCACAGAUGUGGCUCCGAUCCUGUGUGGCUGUGCCUGUGGCUGUGGCCGGUGGCUGUCGCUUCCAUUUGACCCCUAGCCUGGGAACUUCUAUGUACUGAAGGAGCAGCCAUUUAAAAAGGAAAAGAAAAGAAAAGAAAUCUAGGUAGGUAGGUCUUUUGUCCUAGGUUUUAGGACCUAAGAGGGUCUUUCUCAGGGACCUGGGUGCCAUCUCUGGAAUAUAAACCUCAAGGGAGAGACUUCCAGUUUCUGUGGAGCAAUGGGAACCUUACUUCGGGGAGUUGCCUGGCUCCAAGUUGCAAAACUACCUCCUGUUCUAAAGAUGGGAGAAAUUUAAUUUUCCUUUACAUAGAGACAACUAAUACAGAGGUAACCGAUUACCAAAUAAACCUAAGAAGAACUAUGUGUGAUGUUAACAGCAAGACAACAGAGACAGAGCUUCCUUGCCUGCCCGCUUGCAAGUGUCCUAUCCUAAUAAAUCUAUUUCUUGCCUAUCAAACAAACAAAAAACAAGACAACAGACCCCAAAGGAUUAUGUUAAGCCCCAAGUCACUAACCUGAGCGUUAACUUUAUUACAGUCUGGGCUCUCCCAGAACUGGAAUCUUAAAACCAGUUAAUCAGGAAUCACCUGAUCAGCAGUUAGGUAAUCUGUUUGAUAGACCCAUGCCUGCCAUCCGCUAAAGGAAAGUGUCUUUAAAAUUACUAGUAUAACUUCCUUGUUCCCUCUCCCUUCGGACUAUAAAAGUCUUUCACUUUGCACAACUCCUUGGAGCUCCUUUCUAGCUGCUAAAAUGGAUGCUGCCUGAUUUAAAUUGAUUUUUGCUCAAAUAAACUCAAGAUUUUUAAUAUGCCUCUGUUUAUCUUUUAACAGUGUCAGACGAUACUGUCAAAUCCUGUUACUUGAGGACUAGUUAUUGUUUAUCUUAGCAUAUUUGUAAUGAAUUGUAUCUGUUUGAUUACAUAAAACAGUGAGGAGUACUGUAAGCAGAGUUCCGGUGAUGGCUCAGUGGAAACAAAUCUGACUAGCAUCCAUGAAGAUGCAGGUUUGAUCCCUUGCCUUUCUCAGUGGGUUAAGGAUCUGGUAUUGUCAUGAGCUGUGGUUUAGGUCACAGACACGGCUUGGAUCUGGCAUUGCUGUGGCUGUGGUAUAGGCCAGCAGCUGCAGCUCUGAUUCUACCCCUAGCCUGGGAA
rnacentral:lncRNA from 1 species